GACGAACGCUGGCGGCGUGCUUAACACAUGCAAGUCGAACGGAAAGGCCCUUCUUUUGUGGGGUGCUCGAGUGGCGAACGGGUGAGUAACACGUGAGUAACCUGCCCUUGACUUUGGGAUAACUUCAGGAAACUGGGGCUAAUACCGGAUAGGAGCUCCUGCUGCAUGGUGGGGGUUGGAAAGUUUCGGCGGUUGGGGAUGGACUCGCGGCUUAUCAGCUUGUUGGUGGGGUAGUGGCUUACCAAGGCUUUGACGGGUAGCCGGCCUGAGAGGGUGACCGGCAACAUUGGGACUGAGAUACGGCCCAGACUCCUACGGGAGGAAGAAGUGGGGAAUAUUGAACAAUGGGCGGAAGCCUGAUGCAGCAACGCCGCGUGCGGGAUGACGGCCUUCGGGUUGUAAACCGCUUUCGCCUGUGACGAAGCGUGAGUGACGGUAAUGGGUAAAGAAGCACCGGCUAACUACGUG
rnacentral:rRNA from 1 species